UCAGGACGAACGCUGGCGGCGUGCCUAAUACAUGCAAGUCGAGCGAACAGAAGGGAGCUUGCUCCCGGAUGUUAGCGGCGGACGGGUGAGUAACACGUGGGUAACCUGCCUGUAAGACUGGGAUAACUCCGGGAAACCGGAGCUAAUACCGGAUAGUUCCUUGAACCGCAUGGUUCAAGGAUGAAAGACGGUUUCGGCUGUCACUUACAGAUGGACCCGCGGCGCAUUAGCUAGUUGGUGGGGUAAUGGCUCACCAAGGCGACGAUGCGUAGCCGACCUGAGAGGGUGAUCGGCCACACUGGGACUGAGACACGGCCCAGACUCCUACGGGAGGCAGCAGUAGGGAAUCUUCCGCAAUGGACGAAAGUCUGACGGAGCAACGCCGCGUGAGUGAUGAAGGUUUUCGGAUCGUAAAGCUCUGUUGUUAGGGAAGAACAAGUGC
rnacentral:rRNA from 1 species